rnacentral:lncRNA from 1 species
CCAAGAGCUAUGUGGGAUCAGGAAGGGAGGAGGGAGGCCUGGGUUAGGUUCCACAAGUAUUGUUACUAAUUUUUGGUGCUCAGUGUGCUUCAUGGUGACUGGAGCUGAACGUGGAAGGAAGAGUAAGAUUUAAUAAUAAUAGUAGUCGUGGAGUUCCCGUCGUGGCUCAGUGGUUAACGAAUCCAACCAGGAAUCAUGAGGUUGUGGGUUUGAUCCCUGGCCUUGCUCUGUGGGUUAAGGAUCUGGCAUUGCCGUGAGUUGUGGUGUAGGUCACAGACGAGGCUCAGAUCCCGUGUUGCUGUGGCUCUGGUGUAGGCCGGCGGCUGCAGUUCCGCUUAGACCCCUAGCCUGGGAACCUCCUUAUGCUGCAGAAGCGCCCCUAGAAAAGGCAAAAAGACAAAAUAAUAAUAACAACAACAAUAACAAAUAAGAGCCUAUUUUUUGCUCAAUUAAGUCUCUGGGGUAAAUAUCCAGGUGGCUCCACACAGUCCUUCAGGACCCUGGCCGAUGGCGGCUCUGCCAUCCUGAGCACUGGCUGCCAGGCUUCGGUGAUUGUCAUCCCAGGAGAACACGGGGGAUGCUCGGGGCAGGGAGUGUCGGGGGGCAGGCCUGGGGUGGUGCCUUCACUUCUGCCCAGGUGCCAUGGCAGAGAUCAAUCAUAUCAGGGCCACAUCCACGUGUCACAGACUGCGGACCCACUGCCCAGCUGGCAGGAGAUGGGAGACAGCUCCUGUCUUAGGAGGGACAGCGAGCAUUCCCUGCCGUACUCAUCACACCCUCCGCUCCAUCACUUUAUCCCUUGCCUUCUACAGGAGCAUUCUUCUUGAACUCGUUCUCUUGAGCAGAAGCAUCUGAGAAGAUGUGUUUCUGCAGCAGAGAUGUGUAUCACUUUCCUAGGCGGCCGUAAGCAAGCAGUACAGACCAGGUGGCCUCAACCACAGAAAUUACGGUCUCACGGUUCUAGAGGCUGCAAGUCUGAGGUCAAGGCCAGCAGGACUGGUUUUCUCUGAGGCCUCUCUCCUUGGCUUGUAGACGGCUGUCUCCUCUCUGUGUCUUGACGUGGUGCGCCCUCUGUAUGUGUCUAUGUCCAACUCUGUUUGUAAGGAAACCAGUCAUCGUGAAUUAGCAGCCACCCACAAAACGUCAUGUUACUUUCUCUACCGCUUUCAAGACUCCCCCUCCCAACACAGUCCCAUUCCGAAGUCCUAGGGGUUAGGAUUCCAACAUAGGAGUUGGGGCGGGGGUGGGGGGGCCACAGUUCAGCUCAUCGUAAGAUGACAUCCAGAAGGAUGAAAUCCGGCUUUGUCAGCAGGAAAAACGCUCCUCUCUCUCUUUCUCUGUAGUGCUUUUACCUACCGCUUACCUGGCUAAGAUUCUCCUCAAAGUUCCCUCCAUGGUGCUUGGCCAUAGGGCCCAUUUUUUGGGUGGAGUUGGGGGGCGGGGCGUCACCUGCAGCAUGUAGAAGUUCCUGGGCCAGGGAUCAAACCCACACCAUAGCAAUGACCCAAGCCACGGCAGUGAUAAUGCUGUAUCCUUAAACCACUGAGCCACCAGGAAACUCCCCCAUAAGGCCUGCUUACAUCAGCUUUAUUUUUUAUUUUUGUUUAUUUUUGUCUUUUUGCCUUUUCUAGGGCCGCUCCCGCAGCAUAUGGAGGUUCCCAGGCUAGGGGUCCAAUCGGAGCUGUAGCCACCGGCCUAUGCCAGAGCCACAGCAAUGCCAGAUCUGAGCCUCGUCUGCAACCUACACCACAACUCACGGCAA